UUGUUCCCGAUUCUGAAGGUUUCCAGCUGUACGUAGAAGUAAAAAGCAAGCAACUGGUUUUUACUUCUACGUUCAGCUGGAAACCUUCAGAAUCAU
rnacentral:pre_miRNA from 1 species